rnacentral:rRNA from 1 species
GUGGGGAAUAUUGGACAAUGGGCGAAAGCCUGAUCCAGCCAUGCCGCGUGUGUGAAGAAGGUCUUCGGAUUGUAAAGCACUUUAAGUUGGGAGGAAGGGUAGUAACCUAAUACGUUGCUACUUUGAUGUUACCGACAGAAUAAGCACCGGCUAACUUCGUGCCAGCAGCCGCGGUAAUACGAAGGGUGCAAGCGUUAAUCGGAAUUACUGGGCGUACAGCGCGCGUAGUUGGUUCAGUAAGUUGGAAGUGAAAUCCCCGGGCUCAACCUGGGAACUGCUUGCAAAACUGCUGAGCUAGAGUACGGUAGAGGGUAGUGGAAUUUCGUGUGUAGCGGUGAAAUGCGUAGAUAUAGGAAGGAACACCAGUGGCGAAGGCGACUACCUGGACUGAUACUGACACUGAGGUGCGAAAGCGUGGGGAGCAAACAGGAUUAGAUACCCGAGUAGUCC